GACGAACGCUGGCGGCGUGCUUAACACAUGCAAGUCGAACGGAAAGGCCCUGCUUUUGUGGGGUGCUCGAGUGGCGAACGGGUGAGUAACACGUGAGUAACCUGCCCUUGACUUUGGGAUAACUUCAGGAAACUGGGGCUAAUACCGGAUAGGAGCUCCUGGUGCCUGGGGGGGGGUGGAAAGUUUCGGCGGUUGGGGAUGGACUCGCGGCUUAUCAGCUUGUUGGUGGGGUAGUGGCUUACCAAGGCUUUGACGGGUAGCCGGCCUGAGAGGGUGACCGGCCACAUUGGGACUGAGAUACGGCCCAGACUCCUACGGGAGGCAGCAGUGGGGAAUAUUGCACAAUGGGCGGAAGCCUGAUGCAGCAACGCCGCGUGCGGGAUGACGGCCUUCGGGUUGUAAACCGCUUUCGCCUGUGACGAAGCGUGAGUGACGGUAAUGGGUAAAGAAGCACCGGCUAACUACGUG
rnacentral:rRNA from 1 species